AGUGAACGCUGGCGGUAGGCCUAACACAUGCAAGUCGAACGGCAGCACAGUAAGAGCUUGCUCUUACGGGUGGCGAGUGGCGGACGGGUGAGGAAUACAUCGGAAUCUACUUUUUCGUGGGGGAUAACGUAGGGAAACUUACGCUAAUACCGCAUACGACCUACGGGUGAAAGCAGGGGAUCUUCGGACCUUGCGCGAUUGAAUGAGCCGAUGUCGGAUUAGCUAGUUGGCGGGGUAAAGGCCCACCAAGGCGACGAUCCGUAGCUGGUCUGAGAGGAUGAUCAGCCACACUGGAGCUGAGACACGGUCCAGACUCCUACGGGAGGCAGCAGUGGGGAAUAUUAGGCAAUGGGCGCAAGCCUGAUCCAGCCAUACCGCGUGGGUGAAGAAGGCCUUCGGGUUGUAAAGCCCUUUUGUUGGGAAAGAAAAGCAGCAGGUUAAGACCCCGCUGUUCUGACGGUACCCAAAGAAUAAGCACCGGCUAACUUCGUG
rnacentral:rRNA from 1 species